UACGAAGGGGGGCUAGCGUUGCUCGGAAUCACUGGGCGUAAAGGGUGCGUAGGCGGGUCUUAAGUCAGGGGUGAAAUCCUGGAGCUCAACUCCAGAACUGCCUUUGAUACUGAGGAUCUUGAGUUCGGGAGAGGUGAGUGGAACUGCGAGUGUAGAGGUGAAAUUCGUAGAUAUUCGCAAGAACACCAGUGGCGAAGGCGGCUCACUGGCCCGAUACUGACGUGAGGCACGAAAGCGUGGGGAGCAAACAGGG
rnacentral:rRNA from 1 species